rnacentral:piRNA from 1 species
AACCCUCCUCAGGACAUAACCUAUUUGA